rnacentral:rRNA from 1 species
CACUAUGCUUAGCCCUAAACAUUGAUCGUUUACCACAUCAAACAUCCGCCCGGGAAUUACGAACACUAGUUUAAAACCCAAAGGACUUGGCGGUGCUUAACAUCCACCUAGAGGAGCCUGUUCUAGAACCGAUAACCCCCGUUAAACCUCACCCUCCCUAGUUUUAUCCCGCCUAUAUACCACCGUCGCCAGCUUACCCUGUGAAGGCCUAAUAGUAAGCACAAUUGGCACAGCCCAAGACGUCAGGUCGAGGUGUAGUGCAUGAGAGGGGAAGAAAUGGGCUACAUUCGCUGGCCUCAGCGAAUACGAAUGAUGCAUUGAAACAUGCAGCUGAAGGAGGAUUUAGCAGUAAGCAGAAAACAGAGUGUUCCGCUGAAACCGGCUCUUAAGCGCGCACACACCGCCCGUCACCCUCCCCAAGCACCUGGACCUAAAUUUUAUUUAAACCUAAACAAACGCGAAGGAGAGGAAAGUCGUAA